GAUGAAGAACGCAGCGAAAUGCGAUACGUAAUGUGAAUUGCAGAAUUCAGUGAAUCAUCGAGUCUUUGAACGCACAUUGCGCCCCCUGGUAUUCCGGGGGGCAUGCCUGUCCGAGCGUCAUUGCUGCCCUCAAGCACGGCUUGUGUGUUGGGCCUCCGUCCUCCUCCCGGGGGACGGGCCCGAAAGGCAGCGGCGGCACCGCGUCCGGUCCUCGAGCGUAUGGGGCUUCGUCACCCGCUCUUGUAGGCCCGGCCGGCGCUUGCCGACACAUCAAUCUUUUUUCCAGGUUGACCUCGGAUCAGGUAGGGAUACCCGCUGAACUUAAGCAUAUCAAUAAGCCGGAGG
rnacentral:misc_RNA from 1 species